rnacentral:tRNA from 1 species
GCGGAUGUGGCGGAACUGGCAGACGCGCUGGACUUAGGAUCCAGUGCCGCAAGGCGUAUGGGUUCGAUCCCCUUCAUCCGCACCA